AUCUAACCUGCAGUCGACGGUGGAUCACGAGCUUGCUCUUGUGGAUCAGUGGCGAACGGGUGAGUAACACGUGAGCAACCUGCCCCUGACUCUGGGAUAAGCGCUGGAAACGGCGUCUAAUACUGGAUAUGUGACGUGACCGCAUGGUCUGCGUUUGGAAAGAUUUUUCGGUUGGGGAUGGGCUCGCGGCCUAUCACCUUGUUGGUGAGGUAAUGGCUCACCAAGGCGUCGACGGGUAGCCGGCCUGAGAGGGUGACCGGCCACACUGGGACUGAGACACGGCCCACACUCCUACGGGAGGCAGCAGUGGGGAAUAUUGCACAAUGGGCGAAAGCCUGAUGCAGCAACGCCGCGUGAGGGAUGACGGCCUUCGGGUUGUAAACCUCUUUUAGCAGGGAAGAAGCGAAAGUGACGGUACCUGCAGAAAAAGCGCCGGCUAACUACGUGCCAGCAGCCGCGGUAAUACGUAGGGCGCAAGCGUUAUCCGGAAUUAUUGGGCGUAAAGAGCUCGUAGGCGGUUUGUCGCGUCUGCUGUGAAAUCCCGAGGCUCAACCUCGGGCCUGCAGUGGGUACGGGCAGACUAGAGUGCGGUAGGGGAGAUUGGAAUUCCUGGUGUAGCGGUGGAAUGCGCAGAUAUCAGGAGGAACACCGAUGGCGAACGCAGAUCUCUGGGCCGUAACUGACGCUGAGGAGCGAAAGGGUGGGGAGCAAACAGGCUUAGAUACCCUGGUAGUCCACCCCGUAAACGUUGGGAACUAGUUGUGGGGUCCAUUCCACGGAUUUCGUGACGCAGCUAACGCAUUAUGUUCCCCGCCUGGGGAGUACGGCCGCACGGCUAAACUCAAAGGAAUUGACGGGCACCCGCACAAGCGGCGGAGCAUGCGGAUUAAUUCCAUGCACCGCGAAGAACCUACCCAGGCUUGACUUAUACGAGACCGGACCCGAAAUGGUCAACUCCUUUGUACACUCGUAACAGGUGGUC
rnacentral:rRNA from 1 species